rnacentral:tRNA from 1 species
GCGCUUACCGUCUAACGGUAGGACAAUGCCUCUUCGGGGCAAGAACAUGGGUUCGACACCCGUUAAGUGCGCCA